CAUUAAGAAGCUAAAUAGCGCUAACCUUUUAAGUUAGAGAUUGGGGGCUUAAGUCUCUCCUUAAUGA
rnacentral:tRNA from 1 species